rnacentral:rRNA from 1 species
AAGGAUCAUUACCGUAGGGGCGUAACACCCCCUUCGAGAUAGCACCCUUGAUUUUCGAGCACCUUCUGUUUCUUCGGCGGGCCCGCCCGCCGGUGGACAACCUCAAACCCUUUAUUGCAAUAGCAGUACUCUGAUAAACAAAACAAAUAAUCAAAACUUUCAACAACGGAUCUCUUGGUUCUGGCAUCGAUGAAGAACGCAGCGAAAUGCGAUAAGUAGUGUGAAUUGCAGAAUUCAGUGAAUCAUCGAAUCUUUGAACGCACAUUGCGCCCUUUGGUAUUCCUUAGGGCAUGCCUGUUCGAGCGUCAUUUCAAACUUCAAGCCCCCCUUUAGCUUGGUGUUGGGCGUCUGUCCUCCCCCCGGGACUCGCCUCAAAUGCAUUGGCAGCCGGCACGUUGGCUUCGAGCGCAGCAGAAACGCGCGCGGCGUCCGACGGUGCCCGGCUCUCCAGGAAGCCUCCACCUCAAGUUUGACCUCGGAUCAGGUAGGGAUACCCGCUGAACUUAA